CCUACGGGUGGCAGCAGUGGGGAAUAUUGCACAAUGGGGGAAACCCUGAUGCAGCGACGCCGCGUGAGUGAAGAAGUAUUUCGGUACGUAAAGCUCUAUCAGCAGGGAAGAAAAUGACGGUACCUGACUAAGAAGCCCCGGCUACAUACGUGCCACCAGCCCUGGUAAUACGGAGGGAGCAAGCGUUAUCCGGAUUUACUGGGUGUAAAGGGAGCGUGUGCGGCAGCGGAAGUCUGGAGUGAAAUCCCAUGGCUUAAACAUGGAACUGCUUUGGAAACUGUGCAGCUAGAGUGCAGGAGAGGUAAGCGGAAUUCCUAGUGUAGCGGUGAAAUGCGUAGAUAUUAGGAGGAACACCAGUGGCGAAGGCGGCUUACUGGACUGUAACUGACGUUGAGGCUCGAAAGCGUGGGGAGCAAACAGGAUUAGAUACCCCUGUAGUC
rnacentral:rRNA from 1 species